rnacentral:rRNA from 1 species
GAUGAACGCUGGCGGCGUGCCUAAUACAUGCAAGUAGAACGCUGAAGGAAGGAGCUUGCUCUUUCCGGAUGAGUUGCGAACGGGUGAGUAACGCGUAGGUAACCUGCCUGGUAGCGGGGGAUAACUAUUGGAAACGAUAGCUAAUACCGCAUAACAGUAGAUGUUGCAUGAUAUCUACUUAAAAGGUGCAAUUGCACCACUACCAGAUGGACCUGCGUUGUAUUAGCUAGUUGGUGAGGUAACGGCUCACCAAGGCGACGAUACAUAGCCGACCUGAGAGGGUGAUCGACCGCCCUGGGACUGUGACCCGGCCCAGACUCCUACGGGAGGCAGCAGUAGGGAAUCUUCGGCAAUGGACGGAAGUCUGACCGAGCAACGCCGCGUGAGUGAAGAAGGUUUUCGGGUCGUAAAGCUCUGUUGUCAGGGAAGAACGAGUGUGAGAGUGGAAAGUUCACACUGUGACGGUAUCUUACCAGAAAGGGACGGCUAACUACGUG